UUCGUGCUUUUGCCGCGGUUAUACCAGCAUGAGUAGUUUGUUCCGAAAUACUAGCGUUGGGAUUGCUGUUCGCCAUCAUGUAAUCGGCCCUCCGUGCCACCCCUGGGGUUUUAAUGCCACUCGUGCCCACACUCAAGUGUUUUGAAGAAUGUAAAAUCCAGUGUGUGAUAAACAUGUGUAAAGAAACCUUUCGUAAGAAGCCAGAAGAGCUUUACAACAAUCUUGGACUGGGAGAUGGAGGCCAUCAUAAUAUUCUUGUAGGAUGAGUUGCCGCAGACAGAGAUGAAAACAAUGAUGAAUGUCCGUGAGCCAGAGGCUAUGAUUUGUUUAGUACAACAAUGCGAGGGACUUAACAAAAUUGAGGCGGAAAUAUUCUUGAGGCAGUGUCGGUGCAUGGAAGAAACGGAAACAUUGGAUUAAGGAUUUAUUUCAUAGUGAAUUACACAGUCACAAAUGGAUUACACACGUUCUGGAUUAGACUAGUUUCUGCUGCAACUGACAUUUUUGCAGGUGCCCACUCGUAGGCGAUUCCUUGAUGUCUUCCUUGGAUUUUACAUGAUAUUAUGUCAUUUUCGCCAACAUCGGGUUUUGGCGCCAAGACGUUUGUUCCUAGAACAGUUGAUUUAAAUGCCGAAUGUGGUCAGUUUUAAUUUAUAUCGCAGGUGUCUACCCAAACAAUUUUAGAUGCUUUCUGCUGAAUCUUCUAUUACUACUGUUUUUACUGGGGUUUCAUCGAUGUUUUUUGGUGGAGUGUGACUCUAAAGUAAUAGGCAGCUUGUUAUGCCCACGCCAAUGCGUAAAGCAUUGCGGAGGCAUUAUGUUUUACCAAUGUCCGUCAGCCGGUAGGCGUCAGGCGUCUGUAAACUUUUCGUUUCCUCUCAUUUUAACAAGAACGCUUUGAGUAAUAACCAUGUAACUUUUUAUGUGGGUAGAAAAAGAUAACGUGUACAGCGGGCAUUACAGACCAAUAACUCUUUCACGAUGUCAACUAAACCCAGUCAGCUAUGACACCAGCUGCCCGGGGUUGUCUGAAAAACACUUCACUUUCCUAAUACACCAACUCAAUGUGCUCACCGGGGCAUAUGCUACGCCCUGCGUUGCUCUUGUUAUUGCAGUAUUUUUGUUCUUCCUCUGGUUCACCUAUAAACUAUUUUUCCAAUCUCCAAUCAUGUUUGAUGCUUUAGCCAUUUUGUUUCAGCUCUUAGAUAGUAGAAAAACGUGUUAUUCAUUAUUUCUGGUAGCACAAGUCCUGGCACGAAAUACCUUUCCCGUCAUAAUAUCAGUACCAAGACGUCACAGGGUAGGUCCUAACUCCAGGAAACGCCUUACUCGUGCACUGUUCCACGUGGUGGGCAGGCGGUAUUUGCACCACGCCACCGCGGGCACCACGCCACCACGCGAACAGGCGGAGCGAUCAUAAUGACGAUAUCAAAAUAGCGGUCGAUUCAUUGGAUCAUGGUUUCUUGGAACAAUUAUAGAUGGCGUUGGCUGCUAUCCUAGCUUCUCUGAUGCCCGUUCUUGGGAUUAUUGGAAUAAAGGCGUACGCCAACUACGGAAAUACGUACUGAAUUACCGUUGAGUAACAAGACCUACUCCAACUGACGACUGACCUGCAAAAACCAUACGAGUACGAGUGGGUUAUAUAGUCGAU